AGAGUCGGAGUGGGAGGAAAAUAAGAAAAGAUCAGCAGAAGGAGGAAAGCAGGGCUCAUCAGUUAAAAAGCUGAAAAAAGACAAGGCAACGGGAGAAACAGGGAAAGCCACUCGUCCUGAGACAAACAUUGUAACUAUGGCACCAAGAGUCAAACCAGAGCUUCCUUUGCCUACAAUUUCAGUUGAGGUUGAGCAGUCUAUACUUGA